UCGGACAGGCCAAGUAUCGGAAAUUAGUGAGGAGGAUGAAUCCUUAUCAUGCUCAUGGAAUAGUUUCGAUUCACCAGAACCAUCGGAUUCAUACGUCGAUGAAAUUAUUGGGGAAAAUGCAAGACAUUUGAGAAAGGGAAGAAAAGGGCACCUCAACAUGCUCAAGGUCAAGCAGAUGUAUCCGGUAGCAUGGAUAUGAUUAUGAAGCUAAAGGAUGAAUAUAUAUGGCAGACUGCUGCGCAUGAUGGAUAUCCCCAUGACAAUUCACAAAAGCUUGAAUGGAAACUGAAAUCUGAUGGUGGAAACCAAACGUUGAAACCUUCAUCAGAUGGAAACAAAGAAAUGACUGAACAUGUAUGCCAGUACGUCGUAGGCAUCUAUCUAGCUUGCUGAGCAUUUGUUAGAGGUGCAAUACACAUAUACUUUCAAUCCAUACAAGACGAAGAAACGCCGAUUGGAAAAGCUGAUUCCAUUAAAGCAAAGAAUGGUGAUGUACCAAAGAAAGUGGCGUUCUGAUGAAUGUUAAAAAGUAUUCGAAGAACUAGACACCAAAAGUGCCACUCACAAAUCAAAGCUGUCUAAAAGGCAGAGCAUCAGAAGAAUUAGGAUAAAUAAGGAAUCCAAAAGAGACAAACCUGAUGAUGUAGCGAUUGAACAGAAAUGGGCUAUUAGAGAUCAAAUAUCUGAGUUGCUACUGUUUUGCAUAAUUGUGUUGCUUUUUUUACUUAACUUGAAUUGACAUAUUCAAAUGUUAUAUAAGAAAAAUAUACCUAGUGUUGUAUUUUUGACAGUUAAAGUGUUUUCUGAUGCUUGAUUACAGAUUAAAACUCGGUCAUAUUUUUUAUUGUUUGAAGAUCGAUUCGCUUAUUUUGUAUAGUACACAUGCACAUACAUUUUUAAUCUUGAUUUAUGAAUUACAUUUAUGUACAAGUUUGACUUAAAUAAUUAGUGUAUGGACAAUUAUUGUGAAAAGAAGUAGGAGACAAUGCAAGGGUAGUCUGAAAGAGCUUUGCUGGCAGUAAGUUGCAGAUCUUGAUACCCAAGUAAGAGAAAGGUGGUGUCUAAGACCGAUCCUUUUGCUGUUGCUUGUGGGCGAGUGAGGCUUCUCUGUCAGUGGCUUAGUUUGUCUUAGAUGUAAAAAAUAGACUAAACAGACCAGAUAAAGAGAUUUCUGAGUAAA